AGUGAACGCUGGCGGUAGGCCUAACACAUGCAAGUCGAACGGCAGCACAGUAAGAGCUUGCUCUUACGGGUGGCGAGUGGCGGACGGGUGAGGAAUACAUCGGAAUCUACUUUUUCGUGGGGGAUAACGUAGGGAAACUUACGCUAAUACCGCAUACGACCUACGGGUGAAAGCAGGGGAUCUUCGGACCUUGCGCGAUUGAAUGAGCCGAUGUGGGAGUAGCUAGUUGGCGGGGUAAAGGCCCACCAAGGCGACGAUCCGUAGCUGGUCUGAGAGGAGGUAGAGCCACAGUGAAGCUGAGACACGGUCCAGACUCCUACGGGAGGCAGCAGUGGGGAAUAUUGGACAAUGGGCGCAAGCCUGAUCCAGCCACACCGCGUGGGUGAAGAAGGCCUUCGGGUUGUAAAGCCCUUUUGUUGGGAAAGAAAAGCAGCAGGUUAAUACCCCGCUGUUCGGACGGUACCCAAAGAAUAAGCACCGGCUAACUUCGU
rnacentral:rRNA from 1 species